UGCCGGGGAAAAAAAAAAGUUUAAUUAGUGUGACUCUGUGUUUGUUUUAUUUUGUUAGUUGUGUAUCUAAAUCAGUGUCUCUUUCAUUUCCACAUAGAGAGGUUGCUGGAGAUUAGACUCAUCAGAUUCAUCUGUGCAGCUUCAUGAUGACUGAAUGAUUCAUGGAAGACACACAAAGAUCCGGAGAUGGAGAUUCUUCUCCAGGAAUUAGAAGCCCAAUCCAGCAGGAGAGAUCAGACCCUACAGAAGCCAGCUGUGUGUCUGUGAGGAGCGACAAGUCAUUUGAGCUUCUACCUGACUUUAAAAAUGAAAGCAUUCCUCCUGGUUUUAGAAGCCCAAUCCAGCAGGAGAGAUCAGACCCUACAGAAGCCAGCUGUGUGUCUGUGAGGAGCGACACGUCAUUUGAGCUUCUACCUGACUUUAAAAAUGAAAGCAUUCCUCCUGGUUUUAGACCAAUUAAGCGGAAAAGAUCCGACUCACUGGAACCCAGCUGUGUGUCUACGGAGAGUAAUCCAUCAAUGGCAGAUUCACUGCACAUU